AUCCAGGCCCACUGCUGACCCUUAGUUCUGACCCCACUCCAUGAGUCCUCAGGGAACUGUCAUCAUUGCCAGGUUGUGGUCAUUACAGAUCACAAAGUGAAAUAAAAAAUGCUCAUCAAUUGCUCAGGGGGAGACUUGGCCCAGUGAGUACAGAGCCCAGCAGUCCUGGGCCUGAGAGCUGGGAACUAGAUCCCAAGACUAUGUCCUGUUGGGCAGGACUUAGAUACUUCCUCAGGGCUUCUGAGAUCUGGCCUCUGGGCUUUAUUUUAAAAGUUGGGUUUGUUCACAUUCUCGUGGCAGGCAGGUGUCAGAACAACUUGUGGGAUUUUCAGUCUGGGGACCCAGUGUCUUGACUAUGGAUUCCUUCUUCCACAUUUUAAAAAAUACUUUUAGUUGUAGAUAAAGACAAUAUCUUUAUUUUAUCUUUAUGAGGUGCUGAGGAUUGAAUUCAGUGCCUUCCACAUUCAAGGCAAGUGCUCUACUACUGAGCCAUAUCCCCAGCUCUCUUCCACAUUC
rnacentral:lncRNA from 1 species